rnacentral:lncRNA from 1 species
CUUCUUAGACAUCUUCUUUGUGAGUGUGAUUUUGAAGAAAGGAGGAAAGAUGUGAAAAGUGAUUAGUCAGCCACAUUCAUGGUGUUGAGAAAAGAAUUUGCUUUUCUGGAACAUAGCCUGUGAUAGCAGAACAACGUCUGGCAAGAAACAGGUUAUAUUUGGCUGGAGAGUCAUUGGCACUAUCAAGAAAUAUUAAAGUGUAGAUUUGAGAGAGGAGGAGAAAGACCCAAGCAAAAUUGAAAACCAGGUGAGACCCAGACAGCAGCAAAGCAAUGGAAGCAUGUAUUUUGGUCAAUAUAGAGUUAAUACACAAUUUUGCCCCUCUUCUUCUGAUCAUGGGACUCAUAUUACCAGUCUUCACAUUUCCUUUAAAUUCAGGAAUCAGGAAGAAUUUCCAGAGUGUGCAGAUGAACACAUUUGCUGCUUCCAUUCUAAACAUAAGUUAUAAGAACUUUUCAACUGGAUUCCAACUUUAAUAUGUCA